AUGCGGCGGUGCCGGGGCGCAGGGCUGGCAGGGCUGGCCGCGCUGCUGCUGGUGGCUGUGGGAAGAGCCCAGGUGCUGCAGGAGCCGUCGGCACAGACCCCCGAGGGCACCGGCAUCAACAUCAACUGCUCGCACCCCAGCAUUCAGGGGGACGUGAACGUUCAAUGGUACCGUCACCUUCCAGACCAGGCACCGCAUCAUAUUGUAACGGGUGUCACUGGAGAUAAACCAGUGCGGGACCCGCCGGGGCGGCUGUGGGUGUCGGCAGAGCGCCGCUCCAGCGCCCUGUGGCUCGCCCGGCCCCGGCGCGGGGACGCGGCGGUGUAUUACUGCGGCGCCCACCUCAUUCGUUAG